rnacentral:rRNA from 1 species
AUGGAUAAGAGCAAUAUUAACAUCUUGUGCUGGAAUGUGCGAAGCCUAAAUGCUGGUGCUCGCCGUUCAACUGUGAGAGAAACGAUCAUUAAUUCCCAGGCAACAAUAGUCUGCCUUCAAGAAACUAAAAUUGAGUUUUUCUCUUCGUAUUUGGUUGCGCAAUGUGUUGGACCUUCUUAUGAUGAAUUUCGUUUCUUUCCUGCAGAGGGUACUCGAGGGGUAAUCCAAAUGGUGUGGGAAUCUUCUAAGGUUGUGGGUGAUUCUCUAAUUGCUGGUGAUUUUUCUUUUACAAUCAGGUUCUCGUUCGGAGACACAACCCCUUUCUAG